rnacentral:rRNA from 1 species
AAUAAUGGAAUAGGACAAUGGUUCUAUUUGUUGGUUUCUAGGACCGUUGUAAUGAUUAAUAGGGAUAGUUGGGGGCAUUAGUAUUCAAUUGUCAGAGGUGAAAUUCUUGGAUUUAUUGAAGACUAACUACUGCGAAAGCAUUUGCCAAGGAUGUUUUCAUUAAUCAAGAACGAAAGUUAGGGGAUCGAAGACGAUCAGAUACCGUCGUAGUCUUAACCAUAAACUAUGCCGACUAGGAAUCGGGCGAUGUUGACAAAAUGACGCGCUCGGCACCUCAUG